UCUGUCUGUCCCAUGAUUUCUGGUGCUGUAUUUGGUAAUUUUGGCUAAGAUGGAGUCGGCUACACAUCUCUUUGUGAAGGUGGCCUUUCCCCUUUGUUAUCAGUCAGUCAUCUGGGAUGAGACAUCAAGCCCUGUGAACAUCCUGUUCCCUGACAACCCUUCAGAGCUGGGUUCAGCAUCCUGCUGAAGCCUCUAGGAAACAUUGAUUACACUCACGUGACGGUGGGAAUUUCUCAAAUUCCUUCUACGUUGACUGCCUGCGUUAUUCAGUGAAGCAGACGUUGCCCACUCCCUACAGUUUCGCCUGCAAAAUGUUCAAUUUUAAUUUAAAAGAUUAAUACAGCCAAGAUAUUCUUUCAACAGGCAAAUGAAAACCGCAGUUUAAACUCUUAAGUUUCAAUCAGAAUCUAACAGCUCCUGGAUUUCCCGUGGCUCACACUCUUCGGAAACAACUCACAAAGAGCCUGAGGAAGCAGCUCUCCCUUAUCAGUGGGCCAGUUUAUUUGUCUCCCUGGGACUAGAAAAUGCAAGAAAAGCUGUUGCAGCGAAGACCCUCAGGCAGCUAGUAUGACACUCAGCUCUGUUCACUUUCAUAACACAAAUGCCCACAAAAGCGGUUUUGACCUGACUGACCCUGUACGCGGAGGCACAGUCUCCUCACCAGCAUAAGCACGUGGCAUCAGAUGUGGAGACAGUUUUGGACAUGGAUGGAUGUUACACACUGAGAUCCCUUCAGCGUCCGUUCAAGAAAAUGUGGACUCAGUGUCUCUGAAGCCUAUUAGUGACCAUAGAAUUAAUUUCACUAGUAUCCUUCAGUCACCAACUUGUGAAAAGAGAACAUGUGAAUGUCACGAGUCCAUUGAAAAAAGACAAAAUGAAUCUCACACAGAAUGUGGUUUAUGACAAUGAAGAGGGCAGACGGGUCAUGGACCUCGCCUGUCACACAUCUUUCACCAGCAAACAAAAUGUGAUGAGACGUCUGGAGACUUGGGAUCUGGUUAGUGAUACCACUAGUGAGAUGAGCACCACAAUUUUUCAAGCCAGCCCAGCCCCGUCAGAGGAAUAGGCUGUGGAAAAAUUGGGAGAAAAAGUUCCAUUUCAGAAUAUAGUAAAAGGAACAUAAAGGAACAUUACCGUCUAUGAUCGCAAACAACUGUGAAAUGAAAACAUGACUGCAACUGCUCUGAGUAGCAAGCCUAAAGAUGUAAAACCUAACCUUAGAUCAAGUGAAGAUCUUCCUCCAAAGUGGAGAUCUGUUGGAACCCGGUGAGGUGGAUUGGACGUCAAACCUCAAGGAAGUAGACCCGAUCAGGCUGGCUCUCCUGAGCAAGUCAGGUCUGAGUCGUGAGACAGGAUCAGCCACUCACACCUCCUUGUGUCCUGCCAGGAGACUGUAGAUGAUGAUGAAAGAUCCAUCACUAAAGCUACGUCAACUGCAAGUAGUGAGCUCAGAGGCCAGGACCUGUUCCCAGCGGAGCCAUUCAUGACUCUGCAGCUGAGAUCAGAACAUGCCUGCUGCGGUGCCUGCACUCUUGAUGUGACCCCUCCCAGCACAGCUUCCUUCAGCCAGAGGUAUUUAAGAACACUACCUUCAGCUGGAAGUGUCACCUUGCCUCAGUGCCAGGCUGGCAGGGCCACAGUCUGUGGCUUCUCAGGAGGCCGUCCCUGUCCAGCUGUCACGGGAGAGCAUGUGCAGAACCCUGCGGCUGUGGAAUUUGGGACCAAAUACCGGCUCUGGAUGGAUGGGUACCUCUUCCAUCUGCAACCCAUAUUCUAAUGCUUCACAGCGGAACCUGCUAAGCGCAGCGAAACUUUUUCCUGUGCAUUCUAUUGGUGCAAACUGGAAAUAAACCACGGGAUUCAGGAAUGACAUCAGUACUGGGUUAAGCGGUGGCUUAUGAUUUGUGAGAGAGAAACGGAAGCCAUGACAGUAACAUCAAACGAUUCAGUGGCUAUAAUGGUAGAAACAGAACAGAAAGACAUUCUUGAUUUUGGUGACUGGAGUUGUGGAGGCUGGAGGUCCCUGCCAAUAAAAGCAAUGAACCGGACACACACCACUUACCAAUCAAGCUGAUUCUCAGUGUUAGCACCGUGGCCUGGCAAGGACUGACGUUUUCCAAGGAACCCGGCUGAGCUCCUGUGGGAGCUGCUCCCUGCACUGAUGUGGUCCCUCGGCUGGCAGGCUGCCCUGCGAUCAACCACGUGACACCUGCCUGUUAUGAGGGACAGGUAGGAGAGGAUGGGCUUUCCAUCAAAACAAAACAAAACAAAACAAAAACGGUAAGGUUUUCCAAACUGCUUUUCUUUCAUUCAGAUUUCAUCUUAAUACUAAUGUAUAACAAUUUUUUAUUUGUAUUUCAUAAGGUCCAGAAUUUCUGAUAAUUUCGGUUCUUUUCCAGAAUCCAAAGAAGCAACUCGGCUUUUCGGGUAGCAUGUUUAUGUUUUCUGGGAAUUGCUUUUCUCUAUGUCUAAAUAGACCACAAAUUUGAGACUGAUUUCCUCUGCCAGUAAAUGUGAAUGCUUCCAGUCAUCUGUCAAGUAUCUUAUGCUGUUCUGACGAUGAGGCAGAUGCCUGCUGUUCUGGGUCAAACCUAGAGAUUCAGGACUCAGGAGAAGACUUCGUGGCGAGAGUUGACAUAGAAGGUGACAGCCCAGACCCUCCACCGGUUCUUAGAAGUGUUGAUCUCCAAGAAGGGGCAGAAGGGGCUACAACUCCUGCUCCCAGAGACUUCCAGGUCUCCGAAUGAGGAAGUCCCUCUUUAGUGGAUCCAGAGAAUCUAUUCAUUAAACCUGGAGAAGAACAGGAGCCACUCGCUUGGAUGUGCUUCAAAACCCACCAUCUGAAUGACAAAGUCCACAUCUUACUUUUGCUAAUAGAUGCCAUGAAUCUGUGUAAACUCUUUCAUUUAGCUUCAGAUUUUCUUCUUUUUGUUACUGAGAAUCUCCUUUCAAACCAGCUGAAUAGAUAUUAAGAAAUGAUUAUUUUAAGUAUAUUCUGACAAAAGUAAACCAUGAAACAACAACUUUGAUUUUUCUCCUUCACUUUUCUUAUUCUCCCAGAACCUGUUGAUUUUGUCAGCUGUUGAGCUAUAUUUCUCCAUUCCUUCUACGGGCCCAUGAAUUCUGGGCUUCCAAAUCCCAAGUGAAUAUCAGCCUCCAGCCAGAGCUCCCCUGUCUAGGGUACCAAGCUUGCUUGUGUGACCCUUGCUUCAAGGGCCCUCUGCUCGGAGACACAAUGGCUUCUGCCCCUGCCUGGGCUACAGAACUCUUUCGUGUGUUCAGUCUGCUCUUAGGAUCUUAGGGAAGACGAGAAGAGUUCUGCCUGCACCGGUGUGAACGCCUGUGCCUGGAAUGCUUGCCCACGGCUUCCCUGGGCUGGCUCCCUCUGGGAAGCUUUCCUCCACUCUUCCCAGAUUUCCCGUGAACAGCAUGCUUGUAGCACCAUGGCCGCUCACACCCCCUGUGCAGAUGGCAUUGGAUCGUCUCUCUCCUUGCCUAUGUUCUUCUCUGGAGCACAAGCUCUAAGGGUGGGAAUAUCAUUGUGUCCUCAGCACCUAGCUAGGUCCUUUGGACAAAGGAAAUACAGAAAACAGUUGACAAAAUAAUUGAAUUCAGAAUCUUCAACUCAGAUUUCUGUGUUAGGAUCUAAAAACUGUCUGUGCAGCCAUUUGGACCUCAGUGUGAAGUGGUGUUAAAAGGUGAAAUCCAUUCUUCAGGAAGUAAACCUCUGCCAGGCGGAUCAUGCUCAGACAUUUGAUUGAAGUUUGUCCAACAGUUUCUUGCUUUGGAAGGUGUCCCUCUUGGUGGAACACCGUAAGUGUCA